rnacentral:rRNA from 1 species
GAUGAACGCUGGCGGCGUGCCUAAUACAUGCAAGUCGAGCGAACGGACGAGAAGCUUGCUUCUCUGAUGUUAGCGGCGGACGGGUGAGUAACACGUGGAUAACCUACCUAUAAGACUGGGAUAACUUCGGGAAACCGUAGCUAAUACCGGAUAAUAUUUUGAACCGCAUGGUUCAAAAGUGAAAGACGGUCUUGCUGUCACUUAUAGAUGGAUCCGCGCUGCAUUAGCUAGUUGGUAAGGUAACGGCUUACCAAGGCAACGAUGCAUAGCCGACCUGAGAGGGUGAUCGGCCACACUGGAAGUGAGACACGGUCCAGACUCCUACGGGAGGCAGCAGUAGGGAAUCUUACGCAAUGGGCGAAAGCCUGACGGAGCAACGCCGCGUGAGUGAUGAAGGUGUUCGGAUCGUAAAACCCUGUUAUUAGGGAAGAACAGAUGUGUAAGUAAAUGUGCAGAGCUUGACGGUACCUAAUCAGAAAGCCACGGCUAACUACGUG